UGUAUUUUUUCUGUCAACUUUCAUUUAACACUCCAGUCCAGUUGGUGGCAGUAAUGCGCUUUCAUAGUUAGUCAAGCAACCGCCAUUAAACUCCAGAGGAAGAUUUGCACCGGCGCUAACGAGUGCUAAUGCUAAACCCAACAUGAACGAAAAUGCCCGUGCGUUGUGUGAAAUGGUGGAAAAAGUACUAUUUCAUGGAGUUACGUUUUCAGUAUCGUUUUGAUAUUAAGCAAUAUCCCGGCUGAAAACAACAGAUGACACCGCGGCGGUCCAACAAGGCCGAACUCACGACCUGAAAAAUGGCUAAGCCUUAACAGCCAGGCCUCAGACCACGGUGCCGAGGCGCUCUUAGGGAGUCCACGAAGAGAAAUUCAGUAAGUUAUAAUUUCACAUUUUGUCAAUAGUGAACACUCGCAUAUUUGUAAGGAAAACUGAUCUUCCGGUUAUUUUAUUUAUUUUGUUAUAACGCAGUACAGCAAGGCAGAGUGUGGUAAGCAGUAGAGAUCGAAAACAUGGUGGACAGAGGACGGAUAUCAGGACGGACCCAUGAAGCCGACACUCCACAGAAUGGGAGUCACAUUUGUGUCAAUCAGAAUCUUCAGGAACGUUCUGAUGUCCAUGACGAGGACAGAGGUGCAACUGUGUGUGAGUAUCUACUAUUUUAGAAUGUUGAUGAUAUUUUAUGCUUCAAUAUUGUUUAUGUACAUAAUGUAAUUAUGCUAUGUAUUGACUAUGCACACAAUGUUUUUCAGCUGUAUCAAGGACCUACUGCCAGUCAUCCAGAUGUUGGUCAAGAAAGAAGCAGCUGAUGGAGGAAGGCAGAGAGUACUGGCAGCAGAGGAGGUGGCAUUCUGGGAGGAUGGCAGCUAUGAGGGGAUGUCAGGAUGGUCUGUGGUGAGGUUGAGACCCCAAGUUCCCCCAACCAGGAGCUCAGUGACGUCGGGCCUACGCUACAGGAGAGAUGUUGGGCCUGUCCUGUACGCAGCAUAAUGUUGGAUCAUGUUUGGACAAAAAAACACUGCCAGAUAGUCCAGAAAUGGACAAGCAUUUAUGUCUUAUUUUGUGUGCAAACAGUAAAAAAAAAUAAAAUGAAAUAAAGAAAAAAAAAUUAUGUUCCUCAUUUAUGUUCCUCAUAUAUGAACAUGUUGUAUAUAAGCAAUAUCAAAUGAAUAUAUUUUAAUACAGCAUUUAUUUUUUAUAUAGAUUUUUUUAAAUACAGCGUUACAAAUAAUGAUUGGGGUGGGGUUUAUUUAUAAAGACUUACGUACUGUCCAAUGGGCACACAUCAACCAACCAAUCACAUGUCAAUGAUGAACUGUGAUGUCAUUGUUUUUCAUCCAAUGACUGAGGAUCCACGUGGGUCUGCUGAAGCGCCUUUGCAUAUGCUAGGCUAUUCGUAUGCUAACCGCCCGCCCGCUCCCGCGCACCUACACUCCCCCCUCCUGGGAUUCCGCAAUCGACAGAAUUCGACUCCCGUGAGUGAAAAUGCAAAACUGUCGAUUGCUGUCGAUAUCUGUCGCUCACGAGCUGCAUUCGCGUCAGAAUACAGGGUUAAAAAUCCCACUUUUCGUCCUGUGGAAGCAAUA